rnacentral:rRNA from 1 species
CCUACGGGAGGCUGCAGUGGGGAAUAUUGCACAAUGGGGGAAACCCUGAUGCAGCAACGCCGCGUGAAGGAAGACGGUUUUCGGAUUGUAAACCUCUGUUCAUAGUGAAGAAUAAUGACGGUAGCGAAGGAGCAAGCCACGGCUAACUACGUGCCAGCAGCCGCGGUAAUACGUAGGUGGCAAGCGUUGUCCGGAAUUACUGGGUGGAAAGGGAGCGCAGGCGGGAAGCCAAGUCGGCGGUGAAAUCUACGGGCUUAACUUGUAGACUGCAGUUGAAACUGGUUUUCUUGAGUGAAGUAGAGGUUGGCGGAAUUCCGAGUGUAGCGGUGAAAUGCGUAGAUAUUCGGAGGAACACCGGUGGCGAAGGCGGCCAACUGGGCUGUAACUGACGCUGAGGCUCGAAAGUGUGGGGAGCAAACAGGAUUAGAUACCCGAGUAGUC